UAGGGAAUAUUGGACAAUGGGUGAGAGCCUGAUCCAGCCAUGCCGCGUGCAGGAAGAAGGCGUUAUGCGUUGUAAACUGCUUUUGCCAGGGGAUAAAAGACCGUGCGCGGUUAAUUGAAGGUACCUGGUGAAUAAGCCACGGCUAACUACGUGCCAGCAGCCGCGGUAAUACGUAGGUGGCAAGCGUUGUCCGGAUUUAUUGGGUUUAAAGGGUGCGUAGGCGGCAAUUCAAGUCAUCUGUGAAAUCUCCGGGCUUAACUCGGAACGGUCAGAUGAUACUGCUUUGCUAGAGUCCGGAAGAGGUGAGUGGAAUUCCUAGUGUAGAGGUGAAAUUCGUAGAUAUUAGGAAGAACACCAGUGGCGAAAGGCGGCGUCACUGGUCCGGUACUGACGCUGAGGUGCGAAAGCGUGGGGAGCAAACAGGAUUAGAUACCCCUGUAGUCCCUGAGCGGGCUGGCAAGGCGCAU
rnacentral:rRNA from 1 species